UUUUAUUUUUAGGGUUUUCAAUAGUUUUUGUAUAUAUUUGCUUGUUUUAACAACGCCCUACUCUUUCUCUGAUUCGAUCCACAGCGACAAGAAGAUGAGAGCCAAGUGGAAGAAGAAGCGCAUGAGGAGGCUUAAGAGGAAGAGACGAAAGAUGAGACAGCGAUCUAAGUAGACAUCAUCAUCAGACUCUGUUUCUUGCUUCUCUCAAACAUUAGUCCCUCUUUUUGUUUCCCAUUUAAGUUUUUAAGAUUUUAAUGAAAGAUCAUUUCAGACUUUCCUGCUUCUUCAACAUCUUACUCCCACUCCUAUAUAUAUGUCACUAUUAAGCUUUUAGGCUUCUUUCUCUUCA